UGAGUCCAUUGAUAAAAUGGAAUCAGAUUUCAAAAACUGUCACAUGUUCCUCGUGACGAUACUCAACAAGGCUGUAUGUCGCGGCUCCUUCCCUCAUUUGGAGUCUCUGGCCCUCUCUCUGAUGGCAGGAUUCGAGCAGUGCUGAGGAUCUGUGCAUGUGUCUUUUUUGAUGUGAUGGACUGAACUCCACUGUUUGCUUCUGUGUCUCGUUGCUGUCUGCUCUCUGACUGCUGUCGUUGUUCACGAUGAUGUGCAACAUAUGAUGUCAUUAUCUGCUCCGACUGUCAGAGAUGGACUCGGACUGCGCUAUGUUGGGGGAUCAUUUGUGUCUUUUUAGACCCAUAAUCCUCAAACUUCUUGUGAACAAACAGUUGCUUCUAUAUUUAAAAAUGUGUAACUUUUGUACAUUUUUUAAGGCACUGUUGUAUUGAUUGUAAAUAAUGUGUACAUAUGAAACACAAUGACUAUUGCACAAUGUUGUAGGUAUGUACCAAGAUGUUAUUCACCAUAAUAUAACACUGCUUUAUAAUAAAAGACUGUAGCGCUGACAAUGUAA